GACGAACGCUGGCGGCGUGCUUAACACAUGCAAGUCGAGCGGUAAGGCCCUUUCGGGGGUACACGAGCGGCGAACGGGUGAGUAACACGUGGGUGACCUGCCCUCAGCUCUGGGAUAAGCCUGGGAAACCGGGUCUAAUACCGGAUAUGACUCCAUGACGCAUGUUGUGGGGUGGAAAGCCUUGUGCGGCUGAGGAUGGGCCCGCGGCCUAUCAGCUUGUUGGUGGGGGAUGGCCUACCAAGGCGACGACGGGUAGCCGGCCUGAGAGGGCGACCGGCCACACUGGGACUGAAACACGGCCCAGACUCCUACGGGAGGCAGCAGUGGGGAAUCUUGCGCAAUGGGCGAAAGCCUGACGCAGCGACGCCGCGUGAGGGAUGACGGCCU
rnacentral:rRNA from 1 species